rnacentral:rRNA from 1 species
GAUGAACGCUGGCGGCGUGCCUAAUACAUGCAAGUCGAGCGAACAGACGAGGAGCUUGCUCCUCUGACGUUAGCGGCGGACGGGUGAGUAACACGUGGAUAACCUACCUAUAAGACUGGGAUAACUUCGGGAAACCGGAGCUAAUACCGGAUAAUAUAUUGAACCGCAUGGUUCAAUAGUGAAAGACGGUUUUGCUGUCACUUAUAGAUGGAUCCGCGCCGCAUUAGCUAGUUGGUAAGGUAACGGCUUACCAAGGCAACGAUGCGUAGCCGACCUGAGAGGGUGUUCGGCCACACUGGAACUGAGACACGGUACAGACUCCUACGGGAGGCAGCAGUAGGGAAUCUUCCGCAAUGGGCGAAAGCCUGACGGAGCAACGCCGCGUGAGUGAUGAAGGUCUUCGGAUCGUAAAACUCUGUUAUUAGGGAAGAACAAAUGUGUAAGUAACUAUGCACGUCUUGACGGUACCUAAUCAGAAAGCCACGGCUAACUACGUG